UCCCCAGUCGUCUAACGGUAGGACGCCCGCCUUACUAGUGAGGAAAUCCAGGUCCGAAUCCUAGCCGGGGAACCA
rnacentral:tRNA from 1 species